rnacentral:misc_RNA from 1 species
GAUGAAGAACGUAGCGAAAUGCGAUAAGUAAUGUGAAUUGCAGAAUUCAGUGAAUCAUCGAAUCUUUGAACGCACAUUGCGCCCGCCAGUAUUCUGGCGGGCAUCCCUGUUCGAGCGUCAUUACAACCCUCAGGCCCCCGGGCCUGGCGUUGGGGAUCGGCGGAAGCCCCCUGCGGGCACAACGCCGUCCCCCAAAUACAGUGGCGGUCCCGCCGCAGCUUCCAUUGCGUAGUAGCUAACACCUCGCAACUGGAGAGCGGCGCGGCCACGCCGUAAAACACCCAACUUCUGAAUGUUGACCUCGAAUCAGGUAGGAAUACCCGCUGAACUUAAGCAUAUCAAUAAGCGGAGGA